CUUAUGUCUUUACUCACCCUUGAGAUCUCAAAAUUUGUCAGGGAAAAACGCAAAAACUUGUCUGGAAAUGAGGGAAUUUCACUUGGGGAAAUGAAAAUGCGCGUAUGGCAGUGUUGGCUGGGAGGCCUCAUACGGGGAAGUUCGGCUGCUGAGUGCAAGUCUUAUUCCAGUCAACGCCACAUCGGGCAACUUGCGUACCGGUGAUGAGGAUGAAAUGAUGAUGAGGACAACACAACACUCAGCCCACGAGCGGAGAAAAUUUCCGACCCGGCCGGGAAUUGAACCCAGGCCUGCUUACAUGGAAGGCAAGCACAUUACCACCCAGCUAAGCAGGCAGACUCACUUGGGCAACCGUGCCUUAGUAACAAAAUGACAGCAGAGGGAAUAGAAACAGUAGUUACUACAGGUGAUGCUGAUGGUAUAGUAGUGAGAAGUGCAUUAGGUAAAGCAAACUGUCAUGAUAAAUGGGAACAUGUCGACUCAAUUGUUUUACUGAUUGCUUUUUCACUGCCAGGCACUAACAUACGCUUCAUGAACCCCGGUAACGGCAAGGCUGACUCCAAAUUGUUCUCAACAAAUAAACUCCAGCAACUUCCUUUUGCUGAAACCGUACUCAUAUCCAUGCCUUUAGUGGGUGUGAAACAACCUCUGUCAUUUACAACUAAAGCAAAGGAGAAAUGGUUAAACUGUUAAGUAAGAUCCUGGGGCAAAUGAAGACAAUGUCCAACAUCUUCAAUAACUCCUCAACACCAGCAGAGGAGGUGGCACAGGCUGGUGAGAAGAUGUUGCUAGAAGUGCAUCAAGCGAAUGAAUAUCAGCAAGAUUUAAAUAAGCUCCAAUAUGAUGCAUUCUUAAAGGCAUCAAUGAAGCCAAAACCAGACCUUGCCUCACUACCGCUGAAGCUGAACACCAGCACUAUUUUAGAGUUUAUUUACAGAUACAACAGUGGCUCAGUAACCCCCUACUGCUGACUAAAUGGGGAUAGAAGCAAGGAGAGGACAGAUCACUCCAUCCAUUGGUUACCAAGGACCCAGUAGCACCUGAAGCUAUACUGAACAACAUCUUUUGCAGAUGUUCUACUGGGUGUGGGGGAUGCUGAAAAGCAGGAAUCAUAUCUUCAGUGGUCUGUGGCAUGUGCCAUGGUACAUGUACAAAUGGUGCACCAUUGCUUGAUCUUGAAGAUGAUGAUGAUGAUGAUACAGUUGUUGAUUCUUGAAAUAAACAAAUUGAAGAUAAGAUGUUGUUUUAUAAUAACAAAUGUAUAUUUUCUGUUAUUUCCAAGUUCAUUUGGCAUUAAACAUUAAUUUUACACCAUUA